AGCUGCAGCCGACCUUUGCAUCAGCUCAAAGUCUACUCAACAUGCACAUCCUAUAUUUUUAGGCCAUUUCCGUCUGCAAAAUGAAGCUCUUGGCUAUUGCUGUCAUCUUGUGCCUCGCUGUGCUGUACACUCAGGCUUUACCAGCCGAAAUGCCAUCUUCACCACUGCUGCUCAGUCGUGUCGCCAGGUCACCUCACUUCCCUCAAGACUGUAUCCCGUGUACUUGUAAAACCACCAUCACACACAUUACCAUUAUCGAACAUGAAGUAAGGCCAACAGCCGCAAGGUUCGGUAACAGCCCCCAGUGCUGCCCAUGCCCUCCACCUUUCUGAUGCCCUUGUUUCUCAUGGACCGAUCACGCCAAUCUUCUGAAUAUCUUCUACACGGAAAAUUUGAAAAAAUCAGAAAAAAAUACUGAACAAACCAAAUGUUAUAUUAUUAUUGAAUGUAAUCAUAUGCAAAUAAAAUUGGUGUAUCUAA
rnacentral:lncRNA from 1 species